GGGCCCGCACAAGCGGUGGAGUAUGUGGUUUAAUUCGACGCAACGCGAAGAACCUUACCAGGUCUUGACAUUGAUGGACAAAACAAGAGAUUGUUUUUCUCCUUCGGGAGCCAGAAAACAGGUGGUGCACGGCUGUCGUCAGCUCGUGUCGUGAGAUGUUGGGUUAAGUCCCGCAACGAGCGCAACCCCUAUCUUAUGUUGCCAGCACUUCGGGUGGGGACUCAUGAGAGACUGCCGCAGACAAUGCGGAGGAAGGCGGGGAUGACGUCAAGUCAUCAUGCCCCUUAUGACCUGGGCUACACACGUACUACAAUGGGCUUUAAUAGAGGGAAGCAAAGCGGCGACGCGGAGCAAACCCCAGAAACAAGCUCUCAGUUCGGAUCGUAGGCUGCAACUCGCCUACGUGAAGUCGGAAUCGCUAGUAAUCGCAGGUCAGCAUACUGCGGUGAAUACGUUCCCGGGCCUU
rnacentral:rRNA from 1 species